UGGAUGCCUUCUAAUUAUCAGACCUGCUCUUGAUCAGUUUGUCAAGCUCAUGUCCAAGGCAAUGCUAGUCAUUCUUGGAUUUAAGAAUGCUAGAUAAUAAUCCGAAGGUUAAAAUUCAUGAAGCACCAGAUGAAAGAUACGUGGAAAAUUCAAGUUUGCAAUUUAAACCAGUAAACUCUACUAGGAUAGCAGAGACAAGGAUGGCGAAGGCAAUGCA
rnacentral:lncRNA from 1 species